CGCGAACCAUCGAGUCUUUGAACGCAAGUUGCGCCCGAAGCCACCCGGCUGRGGGCACRCCUGCCUGGGCGUCA
rnacentral:rRNA from 1 species